GCGUGUGUGAAGAAGGUUUUCGGAUUGUAAAGCACUUUCGGCGGGGACGAUGAUGACGGUACCCGCAGAAGAAGCCCCGGCUAACUUCGUGCCAGCAGCCGCGGUAAUACGAAGGGGGCUAGCGUUGCUCGGAAUGACUGGGCGUAAAGGGCGCGUAGGCGGUUUGUACAGUCAGGUGUGAAAUUCCCGGGCUCAACCUGGGGGCUGCACUUGAUACGUAUGGACUUGAGUGGGGAAGAGGGUCGUGGAAUUCCCAGUGUAGAGGUGAAAUUCGU
rnacentral:rRNA from 1 species